GAAAGGAAGAGAGGACUAGUGUGGAAGAGAAAGAGCGGCGGACCAAGAAAGAAAAAGAGGAGAAAGGCAAGAGAGUCCAGCUGCUUAUGGUUGGCACUGAUUGUCUUCUGAUUAAUCCGCAGACUCAGGGACAGUAAAAGCUGGGAGGCAGCCGCAAGUUUGGUCAGUGGUCUUCAGUUCCUUCGCUCCUUUCCCCUCCUGAGGAAAACUUCAACCCGCUCUGCCUGCCUCAGAUCCGGGUGACGAAUCCAGUGGCUCAGGAUGAAGUUAGCUCAAGAGAACCCGGUCUGGCUGGGACGUUUAUAAACGACGCGCAGAACAGCGACGUGAGAAAAUGGAUCACGCUGUAAUCUGGGGAGAAUGGAUGAUUUACCGGCGCUUCGAACGGUGCUUCGCACGUAAUAAGCGCUGGACAAAUGCUAUCGUUAUUAUUAUGAUUUACAAGAAUAGUUUUCAUAUUUUCUUCAGGGAAAAACUGAAGAAAAACUCAGGCGAUUAAUAAUUGCCAGUCAAAAGACGGGCUUCCAUGUCAUUAGUUUCUCGAAUCUUCUAGAUGAAGCCUGUCCUGAGUCCCCUUCAAGUUUCCGGAGAUGAUGAGAGAUGUAGUUUCUCCUCGGUACCUCUUCAGAUCGCCUGGACGAAGUGUCACGGAAGGGGCAUAAGGGAAGCGUAAAGUUGCUAUUGGAUUAA